CCGGCGCACGGGUGAGUAACGCGUAUGCAACUUGCCUAUCGGAGGGGGGUAACCCGGCGAAAGUCGGACUAAUACCGCAUGAAGCAGGGAUCCCGCAUGGGAAUAUUUGCUAAAGAUUCAUCGCUGAUAGAUAGGCAUGCGUUCCAUUAGGCAGUUGGCGGGGUAACGGCCCACCAAACCUUCGAUGGAUAGGGGUUCUGAGAGGAAGGUCCCCCACAUUGGAACUGAGACACGGUCCAA
rnacentral:rRNA from 1 species